rnacentral:tRNA from 1 species
GGGGGUGUCGACGGCGCCAAGACUGACUUUAUGUAGCGGUCUUGAAAACCGCCGACUCGCAAGGGUCCCAGAGUUCGAAUCUCUGCGCUUCCGCCA